GGUGCUGCUUCCAGCGGUUUAGUGCUGUCGUUGCCUGAUAUGCAAGGAUCUGGAAAAACGGCAGGAAGCAUAAGGGGGUUAAAAGCUCCGGCAGCUCCACC
rnacentral:tRNA from 1 species